GAACGCUGGCGGCAUGCUUUACACAUGCAAGUCGAACGGUAACAGGUCUUCGGAUGCUGACGAGUGGCGAACGGGUGAGUAAUACAUCGGAACGUGCCUAGUAGUGGGGGAUAACUACUCGAAAGAGUAGCUAAUACCGCAUGAGAUCUACGGAUGAAAGCAGGGGACCUUCGGGCCUUGUGCUACUAGAGCGGCUGAUGGCAGAUUAGGUAGUUGGUGGGGUAAAGGCUUACCAAGCCUGCGAUCUGUAGCUGGUCUGAGAGGACGACCAGCCACACUGGGACUGAGACACGGCCCAGACUCCUACGGGAGGCAGCAGUGGGGAAUUUUGGACAAUGGGCGAAAGCCUGAUCCAGCAAUGCCGCGUGCAGGAUGAAGGCCCUCGGGUUGUUAACUGCUUUUGUACGGAACGAAAAGCCUGGGGCUAAUAUCCCCGGGUCAUGACGGUACCGUAAGAAUAAGCACCGG
rnacentral:rRNA from 1 species